AAUAAAGUAUUUAAAUGCAUUUAAUUAUUAAAUUUUAAAGAACUUUUGUAACAAAUUUUAAUCGUAUGUUUUUUAAACACAUAGAAUAUUUACACGUCAAACACUUAUAUGAAGUUUUUUUUUCUAGGGCGACUAGUUUACUAUUAACAUACUAAUUUUUCUAUUAUUUUUUUCUAUUUCUUGAAACAAUUGUUUAAUCCUGCAUUUAACACAUUAUUUUUUAUGAAUAAUCGCUAUGUGUGUAUACAUACUUCAUAGAGCUAUGCAUAAAGUUAAAUAAUUUCUCACCUCAAGAUUAUAAGUUUCAGUCAAAAGGCAAUUAUAAAAUCGUAACUCAUACGUCAGAGACCCAAAUUGAUAGUUUCAACCUUCAAGUAAAUCAGUUUUAUAACGAUAAAAAUGCAACAGUUUGCAAGAUAAGGUAUUUUACAUGUAAAAAAUCACGCGACACCCAAUAUACUCAUAGAUACUCGAUUCGUUAUACUAUCGAUUGUUUCCCCAAAUCUGUCUCAUAUCAGACUAAUCAGAGAAAAAUGGCUACGCUUCUAACAAAAAGCGCUUCUCUAAAAAGUUAUUUUUCACAACAAAUAAAACAUGGCUUUCAAUGGCAACAAUUUGGUAAAGUUUAUACAUGGUACAACGAUUUCGAAUGCAAGUAUGGUAAAAGGAUUCUGAGGAAUGGUCUAGGCUUGCUGGUAGGCGGGGGUGUGAUCUGUGGGGCGCUUCUUUAUUGCUUAGACCGAUCGGUUCAAGCUAUGAGUCGCGAAGCGCGCCUGCCUAGCUAUCCCUGGGCUUUCGAGAGAUACCUCACAUCUCUAGAUCACUCGGCCGUACGGCGAGGAUGGCAAGUUUACAGAACCGUAUGCCAUACGUGUCACAGCUUACGCUACGUGCGAUUUAUGGAUCUGAUCGAUGUGUCGCACACAAGAGACGAGGUCAAGGCCAUUGCCGCUGAGUACGAGAUUCAAGAUGGACCCGACGAUGAAGGAAAUUACUACAUGAGACCUGGGAAAUUGUCUGAUUUAUUGCCACCUCCUUAUCCAAAUGAGGAAGCUGCUAGGGCGGCUAAUUUUGGUGCAUAUCCACCAGAUCUGACCUAUAUCAUUUUUGCCAGAAAGAACGGUAGAAAUUACUUAUUUUCUGUACUAACGGGAUGGAUGGAGCCACCAGCAGGUGUAUCUUUAACCGACCAACAACAUUUUAAUGUCUACUUUCCCGGAAAUGUAAUGAGUAUGGCGCAGAUGCUAGAUAAUGGGGUAGUGGAAUACGACGAUGGCACUCCAUCAACGACAUCACAAAUGGCAAAGGAUAUAGUCGAGUUUUUAAGCUGGACAUCUUCGCAAAACUUAGACGAACGAAAGCGGAUGUUUGUCAAGGCGAUGGGAAUUAUUUUUAUAUUACUAGCUUCGGUUACUUACUAUACGAAGUACAUUUGGUCGCACUUGAGAAGCAGACAGAUUGUAUAUCUACCUAAGGGAAAAUAUUAAGAAAGAUUUUCGCAAAAAUUUUUCAGUAGUAUAUUCGACGAAAAAAUAUUUAAACAAAAGUUUUUUUCUUAAUCGACAUUGAAAAAAGUAAAAUUAAAUUACACCGAUUCAUAAAUGUUUCAUUAAAUUUAUAAAAAUUUGAAAUUACGAUUAAUAAUGAUCAUUUCUUAGAUCUCUCUCUCUCUCUCCGAAUUGAAUGCUUGGUUAGAAGAAAUAUCAUCGUAGAUAUAAUAUUAAAAGCAAACAUACACAGACAGAAGCAAUUUUUUCAGAAAACUAAUAAUUGAUUUACUAAUCAAAACAGUACGUAUAAUCAAUAUUUAAAGAAUAGCAUUAAUUGUAAAUAUAAUAAUAUAAACUUUAUGAAUAAUUUUACAAAAGUGUCAAAUAAAAUUUCAUUAACUUAAAACAAAAAAUAAAGAUAUAUAAUUUAAAGAAACAUUCUCUAUUUAUGAAAAAAUGUCUCUUUUAUUAUAAAGUUUAAUAAAUGACUAUUAUGGAUUAAAUAUCAACUUUUUGAUCAAUUUUUGAAAUGCGAAAGAAGGUAUUCUAUUUUGUUUGACUCGAAAAAACCAUUCUUCAAUAGAAAAGAUUUUUUUAGAAUAAUAGACAAUAGAAAAAUAUUGUAUUAAGAUGCAACUUUGUAAUACACAUAUUUAUUAAUUUUUGUACAUUAUAAUGGUAUUUUUUACAUAUAUAUUAUUGCAGACUAUCAAGAUUGAUGAUAUAUAAUUGACAUUAAAUUAAGAAUUGUAAAUUUCUGCGAAAGUAAUUAAGAGUUACUGAUCUAAAACACUAAAAAAAUUUUUUUAAUUUAUAUAAGGUUAUGCGAUGACUGAAGUAGAAACGAUAUUAUAAAUUGAAAAUUAAUGAAAUGAUAUUAUUUUAAAUAUUCUAAUUUUAUUGUAAUCUUCCGAUGCACGACCUUAUAUAAACCUAAUUAAGACAAUUUUUUAUUUUUUUGGAUCAAUUAAUAUCACUUCCGCAAAGGGAAUCUAUAGUCCUCACUUUAAUGCUAUUUAUUAGACAGUGCGCAAUAAUAGAAAAAUACGAUUACAAUCUACAAAAAUUAUAUCGUGAGUCUUGUUUGAAAACAUUUUCAUCGCGAGGAAAAUUUUAUUUCAAAAGUUUAAUUUAUUUUAAAAAAAGGUAUCUAUAAACUACAGCUUUUUAGUAAAAUUUUUCUUAGAGAAGAAGUUUUGGAACGUAAUGUUAAGGCUCCUGGCCCCUCACCGCAACUUAUUUGAAUUUGUGACAUCAUAGGUGAGAAAUGAUACAUUGACAACCCAAUUUUUGCAUCCGUGUCAUACCGUAAUUAUUCACUAAAUCCUGGUGCUGUAACUUGUGACGUGCUUAUGAAAUCUUCAAAAUAUGACAAAUGCUAACUAUAGUAACUAUACACAUAAAAGAAAGAUUUCUCUCUCUAUACGACAGGCAAAAAUUGGUUCUGUAUCACAUUUAUUUUACGGUUACGUAUUAGUUAUUAGGGAAAUUAAUAUUCGCCAUAUUUUAGGAUAUUUUUAUUUGCAAAUGGCACGAAGGCAAAAAUUAAGUUGUCGAUAUGUCACUUCUCGCCUUUAAUGUUACAAAUUCGAUAUGGCUACGGUGAGAGAUCAGGAGUCUUUUAAUAAAGAGAUAAAGUGUCUGAUUGGUUGCUGUCUCGCAAAAAGAUGAAAUAAGUCUCCAGCUUGUCUGCCUUUCAUUCUACACGCCUUGCCUUCCCUUCCACUAUAAUCGCCAGUCCAUUCUAUAUGUUGAUGUUCAAAACUCUUCUAUAAAAAAUUUCUUAAAAAAGGUUUUUUUAGACCCAACCAAGUAGAAUACUCCCUUAAUUCGAUUCUCUGGUAUAAACAUCUACUUGAUUGACUUUUACUAAAUUUUCUUUUAUAUAUAAUUAUAUAUUGGAUACAACUUUAGAGCAAUUUUAAUUGGAUAUGGUAAUACGGCUUAUAAUCCUUAUUUAGAAUCAAGUAUAUAUACGUUUCACAAAGUUACGCCAGGAUAAUGUAUUCGCAUAUGUACAUAAAAACAGAAUCUAUAAUUACAAGUGACUCUCGACGUAUGUGUGUGAAUUCUACGUCCUAGUCUAAUGCCAAUGCAGGGCAAUUGCGGAAUAGCGUGCGCGCGUGCAAAGUCGUGUAUGCACAAAGAAUACAGAUAGAUCCUGCGACCGACUGCAGUAACAUGCGUCAACAUCGAUAAUCGUUUCACAAUACGCGGCCUUGACGAUGCUCGUGUAGCUACCGAUCGGAUCGUCUAAAAAUAGGAGAAGCUUGUGUGCGCGCGCGCGCGGACACUCACGGGCAACAACAUUAACAUCAUCUCUUACACGAGUCGUUAACUCUGGAAUGACCGGUGGUCGCUUGCGAAUCCAUCUAUCUAGCCUGUAAUAAUACCCCUGCGUCUUUCCGCCUAUACCUCACCACUUAUUUUUAGGUCGUAUAUAUAACAUCUUGCUCACGUUCCUCUCUUUCUUUUCCUCUCUUCGUUCACUUCUCGAUUCGAUAAUCAACGACAGCGGAAUAGAAUGUCGAAAAUAAUAUUGGGCGUUUCGAACGGGAACUAUAUAUAGGAGAUGAUGCGUCAGCAACAAGUGAGGCCUGCGGACGUAAGAGGGAAUCGGGGGUGACGACGGAGGUUUGGGGAGAGGGGCAGGACGAAAUAGAAAAUAUACUGAACGAUGAAUGAAACCUCCGCAUUGACGUCGCUAAGACGUGCCAGACGAUGUCGAAAUUAUCCAAUUCGUACUGGGACUCUGCUUUUGAAUGCAUCUCCGGAGACGGCGAAGAUAGGGACUUGAGGUGCGACGAGAACCGAAAUACGCGGAAGAUAUCUGAAAAUAUCAUCAAUUGCUCCGGGAAUAUACUAUAUCGACUUAGCCGACGUAUGAUGUCGAUGUCGACGUAUCGUGGCGCGGGCGUGAGAAGCAAAACGCAACUAGAAGCUGUGGCGUAAUUUCAGCAAGAAUAAUUUCUCGUGUAUUAAUACUUUGAGAUCCAGGUGCUAUGAUGUUUUCUCUUCAUUCAUGUGGAAAUAAGCCAGAAGAGCUUAGACAACAUUUUCUAAUUUUGAAGAAAGAGAUGUACAAAUGCUGAGAACGAAAGGACGGGGAACGGGGACUGUGAGCUGGUUUUGAGACACACUAGAUCUUAUUCAACCAACUGGCUGCCAGUAUUUCAUUCAUAUUAUUAUCCUGGCCCGGUGGGAUCUGCUUUGAGUUAUUUUGGUUUAUUCGUUACGUCGGAUGCUUAAAAAAUGUACAUUGCCUUGUCGAUGAAUACGAACUAUCAUCGUUGGAUCGAUUAAUUUGUCAAUUAUAUAGAACAAACUUUAAUUAUAUUUAUUUAGAAAAAAUUAAAGACAAUAUUUUCAAAAAAUAUGUGUUUAAUGUAAGAAAAAAAUAUAUCAUUCUAACUUUACUUAAAAAAAAAAACCCGAUUAUUAAAAUAGGGAAACACAAUCAGGAUACAAUAAGACCGAUUUCUUUUAAACUCUGUGUGACACCACUGCAUAAUGGUUUGAAGGAAAACAGGAAUUGCUCUCUUUUUACCGGCUUAUUAAAAUAAAUUUAAAAAAUAAACUUUAUUAAAAAAACUGUGUUUUGCUAUACAAUUAUAUUGUAGAAUAUGUAAAUGUAAUGUCCGUACACACAACCCUUUCAUGGAUUGCAGUACUGAUAAUCUAUAAUAUAUAUAAUGUAAACUAUACAGCAGGCCUGCGGCUGCACUUUUCAUUGACAGUUAUUUUACAUAAGAAUUGUUUUCAAACGUAUGUAAAAUAAACAUCUUUAAAAUGUCCAAAUAUAAAUAUAUUUUGUACCUCCAAUAUUCCUAAAAAUUGUAUAUUACAUCCAUGGAUAUUUGGAUAAAAUCGGAUGUUAUGUCCAUUAAAUGUUAUGUGUUGUCUGGGUUAAUAUUUUUAAGUCAUGUUUUAAAGCAACCAGCCAGUCUUUAUUUUAUUUAAACAAAAAUUCUUUAAAUUAGCAUCAUACAUCAUAACAUUUCGCUCGUGUUUCUUUGAUAUUGAAAAAAAGUAAUUUGGUACGUCAUAUAUUUGUUAUCUGCUAAAUAAUUUAUAAAUGGACAUAAUAUACACUUCGUGCAACCGUAAAAGUUAAAAAUUUAUAUCCUGAUCGCCCGCUGAUCAAAAUAAAUAAAUUGCUGUUUGCGAAAUAGAAUAAGGAUCAAUAUGAUUUUGAAUUUUGUGGACGAUAAGAGAAAUAAUUUAUCAAUCAUUUUUUUCAAUACUGUAUUCGGUGUAUAUUCGAUAAAAUCAAUAAUAGUUAUAUGUUUUAUUUCUGACUGCGCGUAUGCAUUUUGUUACCGUGCAGUUUUGCAAGUUAUCUUUACUGUGAUAAAUAUAAACACAACAGAAAUAAAGAGAAAAACAAAAUAUGAGAAGAUAAAGAGAAGAAAUACAGGCAGUUAAUUAAAGCCUGCAUAAUUACAUAUGACGUUACAUAAUUAUUCAAUGCUUAAUUAAAAGCUCGCGGCGAUGUGACUGUCUGGUUUAACGACGCCUAAAUUUAAUUAUUAUGAUUAUUCGGACUUAUUAAUUUUGUUUUAUAUGCUGACGAUACUGACAGCUGGAUACACAGAUGUGCUUCCUUUAUGAUAUGAUGACAAUUCUGAUUUAAAAUAAUUGCUAAGCAAUAUAUUUAAUUUUGCAUCGGCUGAUAUAUCGGUUACUAAUGAAAAUAGAUAUAUAACAUACAGUGACAAUAAAAUGGAAAAAAUGACAAGACAAAUGUCUACGCACAAAAUAUAAAUUUAUAAACGUUACGAGUCUUCAAAUAUGUCUAAAUAUUUAGAAACUUAAUUUUGACUCGCGUAAAAUUUUCCAUAUUGUGGAUGCAGUGAAAUGUAUUCCGAGUUAAUUAUUGAGUAUCGCGAGUAAACACAAAGAUAAUUUUCUUGAACGUAUCAGAAUUACAUCAAUUAUAUUCAAUAAGUAUUUGGAUGAUUUCGUAUGUAUCGUAUCAACAUCAUUUGCGUAACAGCUGAUAAAACAGCUUGAUCUUAAUUUUAUUAUUGAUCGCUUAUAAUAAUCAUACUUUUACAAACGGAUGUAAAAGAUGGAAUAUCAAAUUUGAAGCUAAUAAAGUGGAUUAAGUACAUUUUGUUCUCAGAAUAAUAUUAAUUAGAUUUCUGUUAAUUAAUUUAAUUGCAAUUAUAUUUACUUCUUCGCAAAGAUUAUUACAUAAUAUUUUUAUUCGUACGUGCUUUUAUUCAACAUAAUGUAUAAUAAUGACUUCAUUGAUACCAUUGUAAUAACCGAACAUUUUCAGAAGAAAAGGGGAAACAACAAAGUAUAUUUUAUCGAUCAUCUACAUGUAGUUAAUUCGCAACUCAUUACUUAAUAAAAGCGAGAUAUAUUUUUAACUUCAGCUUCCCUAUAAAUUCUAACCUAUAAGGAUAUUAAAAAUAUAACGUUCGCGACACACGA